rnacentral:rRNA from 1 species
CGAGAAAGCCCGCAAGGGUGAGUACAGCGGCGCACGGGUGAGUAACACGUGGGUAAUCUGCCCUGGAGUCCGGAAUAACUCGCCGAAAGGCGUGCUAAUGCCGGAUAUGACCACGGGGACCUCGGUCCCUGCGGGAAAAGGUGGCUUCUGCAUGCAAGCUAUCACUUCAGGAUGAGCCCGCGGCCCAUCAGCUCGUUGGCGGGGUAACGGCCCACCAAGGCUACGACGGGUAGCUGGUCUGAGAGGACGAUCAGCCACACUGGAACUGAGACACGGUCCAGACUCCUACGGGAGGCAGCAGUGGGGAAUCUUGCGCAAUGGGCGAAAGCCUGACGCAGCAACGCCGCGUGUGUGAUGAAGGUCUUCGGAUCGUAAAGCACUGUCGCGAGGGACG